rnacentral:rRNA from 1 species
CUAGCGUUGUUCGGAAUUACUGGGCGUAAAGCGCGCGUAGGCGGUGAUCUUUGUCAGAGGUGAAAUCCCGAGGCUCAACUUCGGAAUUGCCUUUGAAACGGGAUUGCUUGAGUCCGAGAGAGGAUGGCGGAAUUCCUAGUGUAGAGGUGAAAUUCGUAGAUAUUAGGAAGAACACCGGUGGCGAAGGCGGCCAUCUGGCUCGGUACUGACGCUCAGGCGCGAAAGCGUGGGGAGCAAGCAGG